GAGUCCUGCCGUGCCACCUCGUACACCAGCUGCACGGACCACGAGGCCAAGUGCAAGAAGUGACCUUCAACCACGCACUCACAAUAAGAAUGCAGUUCCUGAACCCGUUUGUACUGGUGUUCCUGCACAUUGCGGUGUCUAUGUUGGAGCUGUCGCGCGGCUGCCGGCGGAGUCGCAAGCACUGUCAGGACGCGCACUGCUUCCCUUGCAACCACUUCGGCGGACCGAAACUACGAGCUUCCAAUACCAAGUAAACAAACAAUGCAGUGGCGAAAAAUCUUAAUUUUUGCACUCCUCAUACUGUGCCAUUUGUGCACCACAGCAGAAGCCUGCGGCCGUAAACGGAAAUGUCGGAAAGGAUGCCUCGUACAAAAGACCCGUUGAGAUUUUGAAAAACAA